rnacentral:rRNA from 1 species
AUACAGAGGGUGCGAGCGUUAAUCGGAAUUACUGGGCGUAAAGCGCGCGUAGGCGGCUUAUUAAGUCAGAUGUGAAAUCCCCGGGCUCAACCUGGGAACUGCAUCUGAUACUGGUAAGCUAGAGUUUUGGAGAGGGAAGUAGAAUUUCAGGUGUAGCGGUGAAAUGCAUAGAGAUCUGAAGGAAUACCAGUGGCGAAGGCGACUUCCUGGCCAAAAACUGACGCUGAGGUGCGGAAGCGUGGGUAGCAAACGGGAUUAGAAACCCCAGUAGUCC